CCUACGGGGGGCUGCAGUGAGGAAUAUUGGUCAAUGGCCGAGAGGCUGAACCAGCCAAGUCGCGUGAGGGAAGACGGCCCUACGGGUUGUAAACCUCUUUUGUCGGGGAGCAAAGCGAACCACGUGUGGCUCAUUGAGAGUACCCGAAGAAAAAGCAUCGGCUAACUCCGUGCCAGCAGCCGCGGUAAUACGGAGGAUGCGAGCGUUAUCCGGAUUUAUUGGGUUUAAAGGGUGCGCAGGCGGAGGUGCAAGUCAGCGGUAAAAUUGCGGGGCUCAACCCCGUACUGCCGUUGAAACUGCAUCCCUUGAGUGCGCGAGAAGUAUGCGGAAUGCGUGGUGUAGCGGUGAAAUGCAUAGAUAUCACGCAGAACUCCGAUUGCGAAGGCAGCAUCCCGGCGCGCAACUGACGCUCAUGCGCGAAAGCGUGGGUAUCGAACAGGAUUAGAUACCCUGGUAGUC
rnacentral:rRNA from 1 species